rnacentral:rRNA from 1 species
GAUGAACGCUAGCGAUAGGCCUAACACAUGCAAGUCGAGGGGCAUCACGGAGUAGCAAUACUUUGGUGGCGACCGGCGCACGGGUGAGUAACGCGUAUGCAAUCUACCUACAACAGGGGGAUAACCCGGAGAAAUCCGGACUAAUACCGCAUAACACAGGGGUCCCGCAUGGGAAUAUUUGUUAAAGAUUUAUCGGUUGUAGAUGAGCAUGCGUUCCAUUAGGUAGUUGGUGAGGUAACGGCCCACCAAGCCUGCGAUGGAUAGGGGAACUGGGAGGUUUGCCCCCCAAAGUGGAGAUGAGACAGGGACCAGACUCCUACGGGAGGCAGCGGUGAGGAAUAUGGGUAAAUGGGGGAGAGCCAGAACCAGCAAAAUCGGGUGAAGGAAGACUGCCUUAUGGGUUUUAAACUUCUUUUGUACAGAAAUAAAAAGAGGGACGUGUCCUUCAUUGCAUGUACUGUACGAAUAAGCAUCGGCUAACUCCGGGCCAGCAGCCGCCGUAA